rnacentral:rRNA from 1 species
AUUGAACGCUGGCGGCAGGCCUAACACAUGCAAGUCGAGCGAGCGGCGGACGGGUGAGUAAUGUCUGGGAAACUGCCUGAUUGAGGGGGUUAACUACUGGAAACGGUAGCUAAUACCGCAUACCAUCUCUUCUGCCCAGCGCGGCUUAGUUAGUAGGUGGGGUAACGGCUCACCUAGGCGACGAUCCCUAGCUGGUCUGAGAGGAUGACCAGCAACACUGGAACUGAGACACGGUCCGGACUCCUACGGGAGGCAGCAGGGGGGAAUAUUGCACAAUGGCCGCAAGCCUGAUGCGGCCAGGCAGCGUGUGUGAAGAAGGCCUUCGUGUUGUAAAGCACUUUAAGCGGGGAGGCGUUACCCGCAGAAGAAGCACCUGCUAACUCCGUGCCAGCAGCCGCGGUAAUUC